ACUCCUGCGGGAGGCAGCAGUGGGGAAUUUUGGACAAUGGGCGAAAGCCUGAUCCAGCAAUGCCGCGUGAGUGAAGAAGGCCUUCGGGUUGUAAAGCUCUUUUGUCAGGGAAGAAACGGUGAGAGCUAAUAUCUUUUGCUAAUGACGGUACCUGAAGAAUAAGCACCGGCUAACUACGUGCCAGCAGCCGCGGUAAUACGUAGGGUGCAAGCGUUAAUCGGAAUUACUGGGCGUAAAGCGUGCGCAGGCGGUUUUGUAAGUCUGAUGUGAAAUCCCCGGGCUCAACCUGGGAAUUGCAUUGGAGACUGCAAUGCUAGAAUCUGGCAGAGGGGGGUAGAAUUCCACGUGUAGCAGUGAAAUGCGUAGAUAUGUGGAGGAACACCGAUGGCGAAGGCAGCCCCCUGGGUCAAGAUUGACGCUCAUGCACGAAAGCGUGGGGAGCAAACAGGAUUAGAAACCCUAGUAGUCCC
rnacentral:rRNA from 1 species